AGAUUGAACGCUGGCGGCAGGCCUAACACAUGCAAGUCGAGCGGUAGAGAGGUGCUUGCAUCUCUUGAGAGCGGCGGACGGGUGAGUAAUGCCUAGGAAUCUGCCUAGUGGUGGGGGAUAACGUUCGGAAACGGACGCUAAUACCGCAUACGUCCUACGGGAGAAAGGCGGGGGACCUUCGGGCCUCGCGCCAUUAGAUGAGCCUAGGUCGGAUUAGCUAGUUGGUGAGGUAAUGGCUCACCAAGGCCGACGAUCCGUAACUGGUCUGAGAGGAUGAUCAGUCACACUGGAACUGAGACACGGUCAGACCU
rnacentral:rRNA from 1 species